GCUGGGACAGGCGAGGUCGGACCGGUCUCCUGGAGAAGACUUUGCUUCCCGGGGGGUCCGGGGCACGGGUGACCUCCGGAGCGGGGCCUUGCGGCUCUGAGUCUCCUCCUGGGAGGGAAGCAGGGGGACUUCCAGCUGGUUUGGGAGCCCGGUCUCUACCCAAGCUUUCCGAGCCUAGUUCUGACUGCUUCUCCUCAUCCCCCCUCGGUAGACCCGGAGGGAUUUCCGGAAAAUACACGCGUGAGCUAAGGCAGGGCGGCAGGAGAAGCUGUGGAUGCCAGUGUGAGGUGGAACCCUUGCACCGAUUGCCAGCCUGCCCUCCAACCAAGUGCCCGCUUUCCGCAGCGCCGCUUGAAAAGAAGGCCUCCCGGACAGUCUCCAGAUUCGUCAACCGGGUGAACGCGAGGCAUUGUCUCUGUGUGCAUAUCUGUGGGAGGAGUUUCCUUCAAAGGUCCGUUUGCCCACAUCCGGAGGAAAUGAACAAAUGAGGACACCGAGUCUCUCAGAGCCGAAGCGAUUCCUAUUUCUGUUGGUUUCAAAGACGUCUGAACACCGGAGGAAAACACUUUACGAUGUAAGCCCACACCUCUGAGGCUGUGAAACCCCUUCAGGGUAGGAAACCAGAAACCACCGGCUGGGUCUGAGCCCGGGCAGGCUUCCUGAGCAAGACUCUCAACUGCCGGUCGCCUCAGAGGGCUGUCCCCAGGACCAGGGCGCAGGCACUAGAGGCCCAGGCCACCGUCACACCCUGGGCAGUGCUGGAAGGCCUCCUCACGUAGCCUGACUUCUCCUUGUCCUCGAGGGGAGGGAAUGCCAGGAGGGUUGCUAGUUCGAGGGCGGGUGGUCAGGGUGGUCAGGGAGGCUGUGCCCAGGCUUCGAGGCCAUCAGGAUGGUCCUGCAGUGAAGAAAGCAGGGAUGGCACUGCUCUGACAGCGACCCAGUGGCCACAGGGGGGCGGAGGGAGAUAGGCCAUUGCAGCCCACACCCCAGGCCACAGCCAAAGGGCUGGUGCCACAGCAGGGAGCCAUAUGUUGUGAUUUCUUUUAUUUUGCCAAAUAAAUAUACAUUUUUGAAACUAA